UCGAUUCAAAGGAACAUCGCCGAUCUUCUUGGUUAAUCAUCUCGAGUCACAAAAUGAUCUUAUUCGUCAGUGAACUUGACCUACCGCUUGACAACAAGGCUGUGUUUGCAAUAAUAAAUGACAACAAAGACUCAAAGUCUAUUGAAGUGGACUUGUGGGACAUAUACAAAGCAGCAUCACACUUGACUCCGAAGAAAUCCUUCCUUGGGAGGUGGUCAGCCAAGAAGUGGAGACCUUCCACAGGAGUGUUGCGAGAACGGACCCAUCAGGGGUCUCUGCCAAGCCCAGAGUCCAACGACAGAGAAGAACUGAUUGAAAUACAAGGCGGCCUAGUGAAAGGACAGUUCCAACCUCUUCCUUUGCCUCCACUUUUCUCGAGAGAGCCCUGGGAGAGGAGGAGGGACCUGUCGGGUCUUGUCCUCCGUUGCACAACGAACCAGGACUAUCCAUUAAUGAUGUUUUCCGAUGUGAAUGAGGACGACACUGUACGAGCAGAAAGCUUCCACGGGGUUAUUGGAAGUGUAUUCCACAUGUUGAGGCAGACACUGAACUUCAC